rnacentral:rRNA from 1 species
CCAAGGAGUCUAACAUGUAUGCGAGUCAGUGGGUCUUGAAUAAGCCCAGAGGCGCAAUGAAAGCAAAGACCGGUAGGAGUACCGUGUCAAGCCGGGAUUCUCCCGCCUUGUGCGGGGGACGCACCGGCGACCCGUCCCGUCCGAUUCAUCGGUGGGGCGGAGUCUGAGCAUAUACGUUGGGUCCCGAAAGGUGGCGAACUAUACCCGGGCAGGACGAGGCCAGAGGAAACUCUGGUGGAGGUCCGCCGCGGUUCUGACGUGCAAAUCGAUCGCCAGACCUGGGUUUAGCGACGAAAGAUCAAUCGAGCCAUCUA